GAUGAACGCUGGCGGCGUGCCUAAUACAUGCAAGUAGAACGCUGAAGGAGGAGCUUGCUCUUCUGGAUGAGUUGCGAACGGGUGAGUAACGCGUAGGUAACCCGCCUGGUAGCGGGGGAUAACUAUUGGAAACGAUAGCUAAUACCGCAUGACAACAGUUAUUGCAUGAUAACUGUUUAAAAGGGGCAACUGCUCCACUACCAGAUGGACCUGCGUUGUAUUAGCUAGUUGGUGAGGUAACGGCUCACCAAGGCGACGAUACAUAGCCGACCUGAGAGGGUGAUCGGCCACACUGGGACUGGGACACGGCCCAGACUCCUACGGGAGGCAGCAGUAGGGGAUCUUCGGCAAUGGACGGAAGUCUGACCGAGCAACGCCGCGUGAGUGAAGAAGGUUUUCGGAUCGUAAAGCUCUGUUGUAAGAGAAGAACGAGUGUGAGAGUGGAAAGUUCACACUGUGACGGUAUCUUACCAGAAAGGGACGGCUAACUACGUG
rnacentral:rRNA from 1 species